rnacentral:tRNA from 1 species
GUGGUUGUGGCUCAGUGGUAGAGCGCUUGGUUCGCAAGUGUGAGGCCCUGGGUUUGAUCCUCAGCACUACA